rnacentral:tRNA from 1 species
GCGGCGGCAGCCCAGUGGAGACGGCACCUGUCCCGUCGCGUAACCGCGUCGGGCCGGGGUGGGGUUCACCUUCGGGUGACGACCUUCGCGGGUUCGAAUCCCGCCCGCCGCA